AGCUGGAGGAGGUCGAGAACCUGCUGGCCAGCGAUGACCAGGAGCUCAUUGGGGACUUCUCCAAGCCUCACCUCCUGCCGACGGUGGAGGGGAAGGACCCGGGCCUGAAGUACAUCUCCCCUGGCACGCUGGAGAAGGUGCUGUCGGGGUGCUACAGCAGCUUCAUCGAGAGCAGCGUCGUCGUGGACUGCCGGUACCCCUACGAGUACGAGGGCGGCCACGUCAAGGUCAGAGCCCCCGCGGGGCCCCGGGGCCGGGAGGAAGGGGGGUGUCCGAGGUGCUUACAAUAGGGAUUCAGGAUCCCCCCGGGAUCUGUUGAGUACCCUCCGAGAGAUUCAGCAGCCCCUCCAAAGGGGAGUGAAGCACUCCAGAGCCCCUCUGAGAUCCCGGAGGGACUGAGCAGCCCCUCCCCAUGGAGGGUCCCGAGCCGCCCGGAGGGAUGGAGCAGCCCUUGAGAAGCGCCAAGCCGCCCCCUCAAAGUGAUUCCCAAGUGGAAAGAGGAGCAUGAGGGUGGGGGCAGCAUCCUG